AACGAACGCUGGCGGCAGGCCUAACACAUGCAAGUCGAGCGGCCUUGCGGGGCUGCGGCGGACGGGUGGGUAGCGCGAGGGGAUAUGCACAUCUCUACGGAAUAGCCUCGGGAAACUGAGAGCAAUACCAAAUACGCCCUAUGGCGGGACGGGUUAUCGGGGAAGGAGUAGCCCGCGUGGGAUUAGGGUGGUGGUGGGGUGAUGGCAUACCAAGCCAGCGAUCCGUAGCUGGUUUGAGAGGAUGAGCCGCCACACCGGGACUGAGACCCGGCCCAGACCCCGACGGAAGGCAGGAGAGUGUAAUCUUAGACAAUGGGGCCAAAUCUGACCUCGCCAUGCCGCGUGAGUGAUGAAGGCGUUAGUGUUGUAAAUCUGUUUCAGCCGGGGAGAGAAUGACGGUACCAGCAGAAGAAGCCCCGGCUAACUCCGUG
rnacentral:rRNA from 1 species